GGCCGGUUAGCUCAGUUGGCUAGAGCGUGGUGCUAAUAACGCCAAGGUCGCGGGUUCAAUCCCCGUACGGCCA
rnacentral:tRNA from 2 species